AGCGCAGACGGUUGAUUAGGUCUGAUGUGAAAGCCCGGAGCUCAACUCCGGAAUGGCAUUGGAAACUGGUUAACUUGAGUGUUGUAGAGGUAAGUGGAACUCCAUGUGUAGCGGUGGAAUGCGUAGAUAUAUGGAAGAACACCAGUGGCGAAGGCGGCUUACUGGACAACAACUGACGUUGAGGCUCGAAAGUGUGGUAGCAAACA
rnacentral:rRNA from 1 species